GAGUGUUCACGUUACCAGCCAACCGCUCUGUACCAAGUGUCUGUUCUGCUCAAGAAACAAAGCAUCCAGAACCAAUUAUUACUAAUUUGAGUUGAGUAAAAUAUCAUUCUAACAAUAACAAAAGAACAACCCAAUUUAAAAAAUGGACAAAAGGCUUAAAGACAAUUCUCCAAAGAAUCUAUACAAAUGAAGACUGAACCGAUGAAAAUGUGUUCCACCUCACUAAUAAUGAGGCAGCAAAGACCGAUUCGCACCAAUUUGAACAGGUUUCAUUUAAGAGAAGGAGAAGAGAAGGAAGACGAGAAAGGACAAAGCAGGUAUAAGGGAAUAGAGAACUGAGAACUGGAUCCCUUGUGUGUUGCUGAUGAGACUGUAAGACAAUGCAGCUGCUGUAGGGAGCAGUUUGGCAGGUCUUCAAAGCCUUAAACAUAGAACUGCUAUAAGAUCCCUCCGUUUCACCUCUGGCUGUAUACUUAAGGGAACCAAAAGCCCAGACUCCAACAGUUAACCCAGCCUCACUGUCAAAUGAUGUUGACAUCUGAGUGCCCAUCAGUCGCUGUAGACAAGCACAGCAUGGUAAGGCCGUUGUACACAGCAAUACCAAUGGACUUUAAAGACAUCACGUGAAGAGAAAUAAGCCCGUUGCAAAUCGUGGACAAAUGACGUGUAGUUUGUAGAAGCUGUCUUGAAGAGUCAGAUUCCUAGAAAAUAGAAUGGUGGCCGCCAAGAGCUGGAGGCAGGGGAGAGUGUUGCGUUUGUAUUCAUUUUGUGUGAGUGCAUGUGUGUAUUUGGGUGCAAAUAAAAGCCAAGGGAA
rnacentral:lncRNA from 7 species